rnacentral:rRNA from 1 species
CCUACGGGUGGCAGCAGUGAGGAAUAUUGGUCAAUGGCCGGGAGGCUGAACCAGCCAAGCCGCGUGAGGGACGAAGGUACAGAGCAUUGUAAACUUCUUUUGUCAGGGAACAAAGUCUGGCACGCGUCCCUGGCCGAGUGUACUUGAAGAAAAAGCAUCGGCUAACUCCGUGCCAGCAGCCGCGGUAAUACGGAGGAUGCGAGCGUUAUCCGGAUUUAUUGGGUUUAAAGGGUGCGCAGGCGGACUGUUAAGUCAGCGGUAAAAGCCCGGGGCUCAACCCCGGCGCGCCGUUGAAACUGGCAGUCUUGAGAUGGCGAGAGGUAUGCGGAAUGCGCAGUGUAGCGGUGAAAUGCUUAGAUAUCGCGCAGAACUCCGAUUGCGAAGGCAGCAUACCGGCGGCGAACUGACGCUGAGGCACGAAAGCGUGGGUAUCGAACAGGAUUAGAUACCCUAGUAGUC